rnacentral:rRNA from 1 species
CCGAAUGGGUAAACCCACUAGAUUAAAUCCUCUAGUACUACCUGCUGAAUCUAAAGGCAGGACUGAGGUAACCGGGGGAACUGAAACAUCUAAGAACCCCGAGGAAGAGAAAUCAAACGAGAUUCCCCAAGUAGUGGCGAGCGAACGGGGAUAUAGGACAAACCGGAAGUUGCGCAAGCGCUUUCGGGGUUGUAGGACCACACACCAUAGAAGUUACAAAACAUCGUGGAAGCAAAACGGUAUGGAAAGGCCGGCCAAAGAGGGUUAAAGCCCCGUACGCGAAUCUGCGAUGUCUUCUCGUGUGGCACCUGAGUACUGCCGGACACGUGAAACCCGGUGGGAACCUGGGGGGUCCACCCUCCAAUCCUAAAUACUCUCUUGUGACCGAUAGUGAACCAGUACCGUGAGGGAAAGGUGAAAAGUACCCCGAUGAGGGGAGUGAAAUAGUACCUGAAACCGUUUGCCUACAAGCAGUCGGAGCAGACUUUUGUCUGUGACGGCGUGCCUUUUGUAGAAUGAGCCAGCGAGUUACGGCAUGUGGCAAGGUUAAGCUAAAAAGCGAGCCGCAGCGAAAGCGAGUCUGAAUAGGGCGAGUGAGUCGCAUACCGUAGACGCGAAGCCAGGUGAGCUAUCCAUGAGCAGGCUGAAGCGGGGGUAAGACCCCGUGGAGGGCCGAACCCACUUAGGUUGAAAACUGAGGGGAUGACUUGUGGAUAGGAGUGAAAGGCCUAUCAAACCUGGAGAUAUCUCGUUCUCCCCGAAAUAGCUUUAGGGCUAGCCUCGGACGUUUACCCGUGGGGGUAGAGCACUGAAUAGUUGCGGGGGCUUCACCGCCUACCAAGAUUAAUCAAACUCCGAAUACCAUAGGGUCCAAAGUCCGGGAGUCAGAAUAUGUGGGCUAAGCUGUGUAUUCAAAAGGGAAACAGCCCAGACCGCCCGCUAAGGUCCCAAAAUCUAUGCUAAGUGGCAAAGGAUGUGCGUUUGCUCAGACAACCAGGAUGUUGGCUUAGAAGCAGCCAUUCAUUUAAAGAGUGCGUAAUAGCUCACUGGUCGAGUGGACAUGCGCCGACAAUAUACGGGGCUAAGCAUAGUACCGAAGCGGCGGACUUGCACGUAUGUGUAAGUGGUAGGGGAGCUUUCUGUUUGGGUUGAAGCAGUCGGAUAACCGGCUGUGGACUGACCAGAAGUGAGAAUGCUGGCAUGAGUAACGAAAGACGAGUAAAAAACUCGUCCGCCGUACACCUAAGGGUUCCUGGGCAAGGCUAAUCCUCCCAGGGUCAGGCGGGAGCUAAGGCGAGGCCGGAAGGCGUAGUCGAUGCACAACAGGUAGAUAUUCCUGUCCCUCCGCACAAGCGCUAUCACCAAUGGGGUGACGGAGCAGGGUAGCUGGUCGGGGUUCUGGACGUCCCCGUGAAGACACGUAGGCUAAGAAGUAGUAAAACGCGCUUCUUAUGAGGCUGAGGUGUCUGACGAAGCAACUGAGUGAAGCUAGUGAGCCCAUACUUCCAAGAAAAACCUCUAGGGAGCUUGUCGGAGCCCGUACCAAAACCGACACAGGUAGGUGGGUAGAGCAUACCAAGGCGAUCGGGAGAACUAUGGUUAAGGAACUCGGCAAAAUUGCCCCGUAACUUCGGAAGAAGGGGUGCCGGUUUGGGUGAUAAGACACGCUCUUUGAGCCUCGGCCGGUCACAGUAAAUAGGUCCAAGCGACUGUUUAUCAAAAACACAGGACUCUGCUGAAGUCGUAAGACGACGUAUAGGGUCUGACGCCUGCCCGGUGCUGGAAGGUCACGAGGAGUUGUUAGCGUAUGCGAAGCAGCGAAUCUAAGCCCCAGUAAACGGCGGCCGUAACUAUAACGGUCCUAAGGUAGCGAAAUUCCUUGUCGGGUAAGUUCCGACCUGCACGAAAGGCGUAACGAUUUGGACGCUGUCUCAACCAUAGACCCGGUGAAAUUGCAC